ensembl:lncRNA
AUCUUUAUGUGUGUGGCAGGCUUUAGGUGAUCCUAACUGUUCUUUCAAUCCGAUUUUUCGAUCGGCAAUCGUCAGUAGUACGGUCAUGGCGGGGAUUGCUACGGAAAACAAGAAGAGGAGGGGUUUUAACUUUACAAACGACGAGAUGGAGGCAUUAGUUCAGGCGGUGGACGAAAGGAAAAGUAUUUUAUUCGGCAAAUUUUCCCCAAAUGUAACGUCGCGGAUCAAAGCAAACGAAUGGCAAGAGGUGUCGGACGCUGUCUCAGCGGUUUGUGGGGUACUGAGGACGGUGGACGGCGUAAAGAAAAAGUGGUCGACCAUAGCGAGUGACGCCAAGACCAGAGGGACGCUACAGAAGAGGACCAGGCAAAGACGGGGGCUGGUAUGCCAGAAGUGAAGCCUAUAACCAUGCUAGAGGAGAAGAUCCUGGCCACCAUGGGUCAAGUUUACACCCAAGGCAUUUCAACCGGCACAGAGGUUGGCCUGCCUGAGGAGAUCCUUGAGAACGUCAGUGCCGAGGUGUCUGAUUCAACUGAGGUCAUACUGACGUUGAUGGAAGCAGAGUGUGACAGCAGGACUCUGCCAACAGCAAUAAUUAUCCCAUCACCUGCUAAAAAGAAGAAACACAUUAGCCUACAAGAGGAGCUUCUGGAGUUGGAGAAGGAGAAGCUGUUGGUGAUGAGAGAGACACUAAAUGUUGAGAAGGAGACACUGAAAUUGGAUAAAGAAAAAUUUGAAUUCAUGAAGCAGUAUUUUAUUUACAACGGGAACAAUAUUGUGAAUUUAUUUGAACAAUGAAAUGAAAUAAUUUGUACACUUAUUUAAAUUUGAUUGAGUUAAACUGUUAAUUUAUUUUUUAUAUUGUUGAAUUAAAUAUUUUACAUCAAA